UGGGGAAUUUUGGACAAUGGGCGAAAGCCUGAUCCAGCCAUGCCGCGUGAGUGAAGAAGGCCUUCGGGUUGUAAAGCUCUUUUAGUCGGAAAGAAAGAGUUGCAAUGAAUAAUUGUGAUUUAUGACGGUAUCGACAGAAAAAGCACCGGCUAACUACGUGCCAGCAGCCGCGGUAAUACGUAGGGUGCGAGCGUUAAUCGGAAUUACUGGGCGUAAAGGGUGCGCAGGCGGUCUUGCAAGUCAGAUGUGAAAGCCCCGGGCUUAACCUGGGAAUUGCGUUUGAAACUACAAGGCUAGAGUGCAGCAGAGGGGAGUGGAAUUCCAUGUGUAGCAGUGAAAUGCGUAGAGAUGUGGAAGAACACCGAUGGCGAAGGCAGCUCCCUGGGUUGACACUGACGCUCAUGCACGAAAGCGUGGGGAGCAAACA
rnacentral:rRNA from 1 species